rnacentral:lncRNA from 1 species
UGGUAGUUGAAUACAAUCACACAAUGCUUAGCUGUUUUUCCAAAAUGUGACAUGCCGUUUCUAGUGCAGUCUAUAACUCUAUUAUGAUAGCAAAUUCACUGUUAAGUGUUAAUGGUGUAAAUGUGUAAUAUUUGACACAACCCAUGAAGAAAGUACUAGAGACUAUUAAAUAAUAAUGCGGUUGUACAUUUUUUCUUUUUUCCUUUAAAUUUUCAGAGAUGAAGAAAAAUACAAAUUCUUAGGCAGAUCUGGUUUUGGAUCCACCUGAUGUCUGCCAAUCUUGGUCAUGAUCUAACCAACAUGAUUUGCCUCUGCCUUCUUUUUUUUUUCUUUAAAUUCCAAUACACCUUCCUCAUUGUAGUGGUAUUAUAGUAUUAUUAUUUUCACUUUAAUUAUUGAUAAUAAAAAUGAAAAUUAAUCGAUCAAUCUAUAGAUUCAUUGAUUGAAAUAGAAUAAUUUUUGUGUGAUAUAAUUUUGAAGUCUUCAUUGGACGGAUAUAAUUUUGUGUGAUAAUUGACAGGAAGAAUAGAUAAUUGCAAUUUGAAGAAAAGAUAAACGGAAUGGAAUGGACUGGAGGUGAUGAACUUACCUGGAAGUUGCUCGUCGGCGGACAGGAAUGAACUGGAGGUGAUGAAGGAUUGAAAUGGAAUGAACGUUGGAAUGAACGGAAGUUGCUCGUCGGCGGACAGGAAGCCUCGUCGGACAGGAAGACGCUCGCCGGACAGGAAGAUCGCCGCUUGCCAGACAGGAAGAUCGCCGCUCGUUGGACUGGAGGUGAUGAAGGAUUUGGGAUUUUAACUUGAGGAAGGAUUUGGGGAAAUAAGUUAACGUUUUGGGGAUAACACGAUUUGGGGGGUUUUUUAAUUUUUUUAUUUUAAAAAAACUUAGUUUUAAAAUAAUUUUUAUUUUAAAUGAGGGGCUUGUUGACAAUGUCCCAAGUUUUUUAUUUUAAAUUUUAAAAAUUAAUAUUAUAAUUUAUUAAAAUCACUAGUUGUUAAUAAUUUUUUAAAAAAUCACUAGUUGUUAAUUUUUUUUAUUUUUUAGGAUUUAUAAUUUAAAAUAACUUUCUAUAAUUUAAUUUAUAACAUCAAAUAACUUUUUAAAAUUUAAUUUUUCACUUUAAAAUUUAAAUUAUCUAAAAUAACUCUAAUUUAUAACUUCUUCUAUUAAAAUAAACUUAUUUUAUAAGUUUUAAAAUAACUUUUAUAAUACUUGAAUUUGUAACAUUAAAAAUUAAAAUACCUUCUUUAAAUUUAUUUUUUAACUUUAAAAUUUAAAAUAUCUAAAAUAACUUCAAUUUAUAAUUUUUAUAAUUUAAAUUAUUAUAAUUAUCUAAUUAUAAUCUAACUUUAAAUUUUUUAUAAGUUAUAAUAUCUAAAAAACUAUAAUCUAACCCUAACUUCUACUUCUAACUCUUACUUUUAACCCUAAUUUCUAACCCUAACACUAUCUAAAUAUGUAUAUAUACUUAUUUUUACUAAUUUUUGUUAAUUUCUAUUAAUCCUAAUCCUAAUCCUAACCCUCACCCUAACCCUAACCCUAAUUAUUUAGAUUUACAUUAACCCUAACCCUAAUUAUUUACAUUUACAUUAACCCUAACCCUAUUAUCAUUAUUAGCCAGGGCUAAAUGCCGUGGCUAAUAUCAGUGGCUAAUUUAGUGACAAAUAAAUUAGCCACGGCUCCUAAAUCCGUGGCUAAAUUUCAGUGGAAAAUUGGAGGGAAAUUUUGCCGCAAAUUUUAGCCACGGAUUUUAACAGCCGUGGCUAAAUAUUCAAUUAAAAUUGGAGGGAAAUUUGCCGGGAAAAUUAGCCACGGGAUUAGCCACGGAUGCAAAAAUCCGUGGCUAAAUAUAAAGAUUAGCCACGGGCUUAGCCACAGCUAAAAAAGCCGUGGCUAAUUGUUAGAAAUUAGCCACGGCUUCUGCUGGCCGUGGCUAAUCCCGUGGGCGUAGCCUAGUUUUCUUUUAGUGAGAGUUGUGGGCUUGGCCAUUUUCGUUGCUUUUCUGUAUGAAUCCCUCGAAUCCAUUUGUGCUCCUUGCACAGUUGUCAUUUUUCCAUCAUUUCCUAAAUAUCUGAAAGUCUGAUGGUAGGAUGAGGGUACUGCCUUGAAGCCAUGUAUACUUGAUCUUCCUUGGAUACCGUUGAACGGAGAAGCGAUGUCUACCAUAAUAAAAUGUGUUGUUCUGGAUAUUUCUGGAUCUUCCUAGGACACUCUUCCUCUUCUCUUGCCCAAUGAUAUUUCUAAAUCAAUUAUACCCGCUACUGAAGCUUUGGUAUUUAUGAAACCAUAAAUUGCCUCUUUGGCUGGUGUCAGCUGCUCUCUUUUGAAACCCAUUUUCUCAAAAGCUGUCAGAUAUAGGAUGUCUACUGAGUUCCCGUUGUCUACCAUUACUUUGGUCAGAAUCAGGUCUGCUCCUAUAUCUAUCUAGAUUACUAAUGGGUCUUCGUGCAGAUUUGCUAUAUUAUGUAAAUCCUUUUCUGAAAAGCUAACAUCCUCCUGUGGGUAUGCUCUUUUCUUCGAAUUCUUUACUGGUUUCGUAGUAGUGUGUAGGACUUUUCUUCUAUAGCUUCUGCUUUGUCUUACUGAUCCCCCUCCGAAGAUGACAUUGAUGACCAUUCUUUUUUGGUCAUUGGGUUUGUCGUCUCGACUUCGUGAGCGCUCUCACUUUCCUCUACUUCUUAGGGGUUUGCAAAUUGUUUUUUCUCGAAUUUCAGCCACAUAUCCCUUUAGUUUCCCUACCUUUCCUAGGUUUCUAAGAAGGUUCCUAGUUCCCUACAGGUAUUAGUCCGUGCCAGUAAUCCCUGUGGAACUCACAGUACCUUCUACUCUUUUCGUGAACCUCUUUGGUGGUGGGAUUUAAGGGAAUGUGCUCUGGAAAUUUCAUUUUUCCUUUCUCCCUGUCGUAUAUUUUUUGAUGCGACACAUUGAAAGGAUUGUUAAAGUUAUGGAACCUGGAUAUCAUGGGUUCCUCUAAUGUUUGAUAGACUCUGCUAUCAUGUCUGGGUUUCAAUGAUGACUCCCCUUUUUCAAAUUUUUUGAAUUUUUAUUUUCUGUGGCUUGAAUGCCCUUGCAGCGGCGGCCACUUUUUCUUUUUCUUCGGAGUUCAUGUACUUCUGUGCCUGAACCAUCAUUUCUUCUAUACUGGUCACGGGUUUUACAUUCAGCUUGAUUACUAGUGGGUUGUUCAUGUCUAAACCGCUUGAAUACGCAUAGAUUGCGAUGGUCCUAUUGAGGUUGAAAACCUUUGCAUAGCCUCAGUGAAUUUGUUUGUAUAAUUCCUGAGGGUGUCACUGUUCUAUUUUUUUAAAAACAACGAAUAUAUUCCCUUCUUCACCCUUACAUUGUCGCAGUGUUGAGUUAGGAAUUUCUCUCUUAGGUCAGAGAAGUUUUUAAUGCUCUGGACUGGUAGAUCUGCGAACCAUCUAUAUGUUGUUCCUCUCAAGGUUCCAGGAAAAGCCCUGCACAGUAUGUCAUCCCUCUCUGUUACCCAUUGCAUUGCUCCCCUGAACAUAUUUAUAUGGUCUACAGGGUCCUACUUUCCAUCGUAUUUGGACAAUUUUGACAAGCUGAACCCUAUUGGUGUAGUGUUUAUCAUUAAUGAACUGUCUAAAGGUUCCAUGCCCUCGAAUAAGACCGGUCGCCUUCGUGUUGUAUUUUCUGAAUCCCCCGUUCCCUCUCUGUGUCAGAUGUGGGAUUUGAUAGGGUUUUGGACUUUCCCCUGACUCUCUGGCAAGGGUUUCUUCCCUUGACUUUUAUGUGUGAGGGGUCUGGACUGUCAUGUGUGACUAUUUGCCCUUUGUCUUUCUGAACCUUGGCUUGAGAGGCGUGCUAAAGUUUGACCCCUUGUAUACUGGGCUGUCCGGGUUCUGCGUGUGGUUUCGCCUGCUUUUAACCUUUCUGCCAUUUGAGCUAUGGUUUCUUUCAUAGUGAUUAACUCUUCGAUUGGGAUCUGUAUCAAAGAGUGAUGGCUGCUAGCAGGGGCAGGCGAUUGUUCAAUAUUUAGGGACCUUUCUUGAUGGAUGGGAAUCUGCUGUCGUUCCCUCUGUUGUUCCCUUUCUAUCUGGAAAAAAUUCAGUGGAUUUUGUUGUACUACCACUUCUAGCUGGACCUGAUUUGUCAGAGGCACAGGUAUCGUUAUAAUUUGAUUUUCUCCUUGCCGAUUAGUUUGGGCUCUGGGGUUCUCAGGUACCCCUUCCUGUUGGGUUGUUCCUGGUGUUUUCUCCCUCAUAUACGAGGUCUUCCUUGUAUUGACCAUUUUGCUGCCUAGUUCGGAGAAAAUCGAGCUGAGGUGGUCGACUUGCGUGUUGGUCGACUUAGAGAAGUCGAGUGCUGCAAGGUCUUCUGACGGUCGAGCCUCUCACGGAAGUCGAACUGAUUGGAACUCGAGCCUUGGGUCGAUCCUCCCACGGUGGUUGCUUUCCCUGAAAGUCGACCUUGGGCAAGUCGAGCCUGGGGUCGGUCCUCCUAAGACGGUUGAGUUGGAUCACAAAGUCGACCUUGGGAGUCAAACCUCCCGAGAAAGUCGAAUUGGAGGGCUGAGUCUGCGCUGUUUGGAGCUGAUUUUGCCGUGACUUUUCGAAAAAGUCGAUCAGCUUUCUAUUUUGUGAGUAUCUUGAAUUCACAGGCGGUGCCAACUGAUAAGGGUGGAACCCGAUCAGUGCUCGGGCGACGCUUCGAACAAGUGUAGGGCCGUGAACUCCAUCGGAAAUCGCUCGGACACUCUAAAUGAACUACUAGAAGUAGUUGAUUUAGUUUCUACUGGUAAAAUAUUUUGACACAAAAUAUACUGGAAAUUGAAUUUAAAUAAUUCAUUUUGAAUAAGAAUUAAAAAAACUCAAUCGGAAAAAGAAAAUUAUUGAGUAACUUUGGAGUAGCUAGCUCUGGAGUAACUCUGGAGUAUCUCUCCAUUCGUUCUCCAAUAGCUCUCAAUUAAAUCUCUAGCAACUCUCCAUUAGCUCCAUCAACUAAAUCAGAAAAACUUAUUCGAACUAAAAUUAUACUGAAAAAUAUUCAAACUGUAAUAUUAUUAGAAACUAAAUCAUAUUCAAUAGAAACUAAAAUAUCAGUUGAAACAAUGGGAAAUUCAAUCAGAAUAAGAAUUAAAAAAACUCAAUGGGAAAAAGAAAAUUCUUGAGUAGCUCUCCAAUAGCUUGAAGUAACUAUGGAGUAGGUCUCCAGCAGCUCUGGAGUAACUAUGGAGUAACUCUCCAGCAGCUCUCCGUAGUUCUGGAAUAGCUCGCCAGUAGCUCUGGAGUAACUAUGGAGUAGCUCUCCAGAAGCUAUGGAGUAGCUCUCCAGUCAUUCUGAAGUAGCUCACCAGUAGCUUUCCAUUAGCUCUAGAGUAGCUCUCCAUGAGCUCUAUCAACUAAAUCAGAAAAACUCAUUGAAACUAAAAUUAUACUGAAAAAGAUUCAAACUAAAAUAUCAGUAGAAACUAAAUCAUUAGAACCAUAUCAGUAGAAACUAUGCCAAAGUUUAUCAUUUUAUGAAAUCAGUAGAACCAUAUAAGCAGAACAAUAUCAAAAGAAAUUAGAUGUAAUCAAAUGUAAUACAAAAAUAAUAUCAGUAGAAACUAAGCAAGCUUCAAAUGAUCGAGUGAGGUUCCACGAAAGUAUCUAAAUGUUCAAUCAGUAGAAACUAAAUCUAAUUUGCAAAAAAAACUAAAUCUAAAAAACAUUAAAAAAUAAAACCUGAAAUAUGAUAUAUGAAUAUCAACUAAAACAAACAAACUCACUUGAAGUAAAAUAAUACUGAUAAUGAUUCAAACUAAAAUAUCAGUAUGAACUAAAUCAAUAUAAACUUUAUUGGUAGAAACUAAACGAUGAUCAAUACAAAGACUAUAAAAAAUAAAUAAGAAUCAGAGUGAAAAAAACUCUGACUGAUUUGAUGACUAACUGAUCAGGUGGUAACACGAACGAUUGGAGAGGAAGGAGCAAGAACAGAAUACGAAAAGAGGAGGUGAGCAGGAAGAAUGCAAUUAAACGACCGGAGAGGAAGAAAUAGAAAGAACACGGAUGCGAUGACGAUCACGGCAGCAUCAGUUAGUUAGAUGACGAAAAGAGGGAAGAGGAGGCGGGAGGGGGGCUGCAAUUGAAACCCUUAUUCUAAUCUAGCUUAUUUGGG